UUAGGGUAAAAUCGGCGGAUCAACUCCAUUUGCCUUCUUCAUCACCGUUUCUCUGAUUCUGAGCAAAAUCAGAGCAAUAAUUCAACUUCUUCUCUGUCAUCAGCAUUCCGUAAGAGUUCUAGACUCGGCCCAUCUCCGUCGUCGGCCGACGAAUCAGCCCAUCCAACCGCCGUGGCACUCAAUCUGUAAUCUCUCGCUCUCUUUCUUGAUUGGGUUGUGCAGUGUCAAUUGGUUCCCCUUCUGCGUCCAUUAAAGCUGUCGGUUUCCGUGCUAGCAACAUAUUUCUGGCUGAAUUAUUUCUCUGUCUCUCAUUGUCCUGCGUGAUCUUAUUUCUUCAGUCUUCCACAUUUGGUCUAUGUCUCUUGGUUAAGCCUGGUUUCAACAAUCAGUGAAUGAGAGCUCUAACGAUUACCUGCUUGCUAUUUUUUAGGCAAAAGAUUGAAAUGGGAAUUUUUGAUGGCUUGCCAGUCCCUCCCGAGAAAGCAUAUUUGAAGAAUGAAAUUGCAAGAGUAGAUGAGAGUUGGGCUGCUGCACGGUUUGACUCACUUCCUCAUGUUGUUCAUAUUCUAACAUCUAAAGAUCGUGAUGGGGAGGCACAAAUUUUAAGGGAGCAGAAUGAUGUUAUUGAGGAAGUUGUGGAUGAAGUGGUGCAUACUUUUCACAGUGGUUUCAACAAAGCCAUUCAAAAUUACUCGCAGAUAUUGCGGUUAUUUAGUGAAUCUGCCGAGAGUGUUUCAAUUUUGAAGGUUGAUUUAGCUGAUACCAAAAGAAGUUUCAGUGCCCGCAGUAAGCAGUUGCAUCAGCUAUGGUAUCGUUCGGUUACAUUGCGUCACAUAAUAUCCCUUCUAGAUCAAAUUGAGGGCAUUGCUAAGGUUCCAGGGCGAAUUGAAAAACUGAUUGCAGAAAAGCAAUUUUAUGCAGCAGUUCAGCUACAUGUUCAAUCUGCAUUAAUGCUUGAGCGGGAAGGGCUUCAAACUGUUGGUGCACUUCAAGAUGUACGAUCGGAGUUAACGAAAUUACGGGGAGUUAUUUUUUAUAAAGUUUUGGAGGAUUUGCAUGCACAUCUUUACAAUAAGGGUGAUUACAGUUCAGCAGCCUCAAAGAUGCUGGAAACGGACAAUGAAGUAUCAACUGCUGAAGCUAUUGCUUUGGCAUUGAAUAGCUCACAAUCUGUGUCUCGAAGAACGAGGUCACAGAGCAAUCAGUUUGGCAUUCAUGUAGAUAACGGGUCAUCGUUCGAUGGCCACGAGGAAGGUAGUAUUUCGGAUUUAAAUGAUGAUGCCUCAGACAGUCAGCCAACUUUUGCAAGGGUCAAUGGUGGAGAUGGUGGGUUGAAGGAGGCGAAACCGACUACACGUCAAUUGCCAAAAUGGCUUUCAAAUUCCAUUCCAGAUGAAUUUCUAGAAACAAUAAAGAAGCUUGAUGCUCCGCUUCAUGUUAAGUAUUUGCAGACCAUGAUUGAGUGUCUGUGUAUGCUUGGCAAAGUUGCUGCUGCUGGUGCUAUCAUAUGCCAAAGAUUGCGACCUACGAUCCAUGAUAUAAUAACUUCCAAAAUCAAAGCUUAUGCAGAACAAAUAAAUUCUUCAAGGUUAGGCUUUGGUCAGGCUGUUCGAUCUGAGACUGCUGCUCAUUUUAUGAAGGGGCAGUUAGGAAGCUUCCAUUUACCAAAACAUAAAUGCCAGAAUGGCAUUCCACUCGCUGGGACAUUGGUUGCAGUGAGCCCUGUUUCACCAGUGAUGGCUCCUAUGGGAAAAGCACAGACUUCUGCAAGAGAUCUUCUUGAUUCUGUUUUGGAAACUGUUGUUCGUAUAUUUGAGAACCAUGUUGUUGUUGGGGAGCUUCUGGAAGCAAAAGCCUCGCGACAUGCAGAUAUGAAUACACCGAGGUCAAUGCCAACUGAUGAUAAUUGGAAUCCGGACUCUGAAGCAUCUCAAGUCACUGGAGGUUAUACUAUAGGCUUUGCCUUCACAGUUUUGCAGAGUGAAUGUCAGCAACUCAUUUGUGAGAUUCUGCGAGCAACUCCUGAAGCAGCAUCAGCUGAUGCUGCUGUACAAACAGCUAGGCUUGCAAGCAAGGUGCCCUCCAAAGAAAAGAGGGAUGGGGCAGAUGAUAGUCUCACUUUUGCUUUUCGUUUCACAGAUGCUACAAUAUCUGUUCCUAACGAAGGUGUGGAUCUCAUUCGCCAUGGAUGGAGUAGGAAGGGCCCCAAUGUAUCACAAGAAGGCUAUGGAUCAGCAGCUGUCUUGCCUGAACUGGGUUUUUAUUUGGCAGCAGCCGUAUACCGGCCAGUUCUUCAGUUCACAGAUAAGGUUGCUAAAAUGCUUCCGGGAAAGUAUUUGCAGCUCGGGAAUGAUGGAUUGCUUGCUUUUAUGGACAAUUUUGUGAAGGACCACUUUUUGCCGACUAUGUUUGUAGACUACCGAAAAAGUAUACAACAAGCUAUUUCAAGUCCUGCUGCAUUUCGACCAAGAGCUCAGGCUGCUGCAAUUUAUAAUUCAUCUGUUGAGAGGGGUCGUCCGGUCUUACAAGGACUAUUGGCUAUUGAUUUCCUUGAACGAGAGGUUAUUGAUUGGGCUCAAGCCAUGCCCAAAUUUUCUGGCGAACUUGUGAAGUAUGUGCAAACUUUCCUCGAGCGAACAUAUGAAAGGUGUCGAACAUCGUAUAUGGAGGCAGUUCUUGAAAAACAGAGUUAUAUGCUUAUUGGGAGACACGAUAUUGAGAAAUUACUGCGAAUUGAUCCAGCUAGUGCUUGUUUAUCAAAUGUUGGUAGCCAGUCAAACCUGGAAAAUAAUUCUUCUGAUGCUGAAACUUUCGAGAUCGAAUUAGAGCUCUGCAAUUUAUUAUUGAACUUACCCUCAAUUAAGCAGGAGUAUCUAAUACGUGAUGAUCACAAACUAAUUUUGCUAGCGUCACUUAGCGACUCAUUGGAAUUUGUUGCUGACUCUAUCGACGAGUUAGAACAAACAACUUUAAAACCUUCGUAUCAGGCAGAAGCUAAUAGCAGGCCUCAUCAUACCCGAACAGACAGUGCAUUUACUCGGGAUCUGGCAUCAUUUGCGGAGGAGCAUAGAAAAUUAUCUAUUGACUGUCUCAAGGUCUUGCGUAUUGAGAUGCAACUUGAGACGCUGUUCCAUUUACAGGAAAUGACGACUAGGGAAUAUAUGGAGAACCAAGAUGCAGAAGAGCCAGAUGGCUUCAUUAUCUCCCUCACUGCGCAGAUAACUCGUAGAGACGAGGAAAUGGCACCUUUUAUUUCAGGACUGAAGCGAAAUUACAUAUUUGGUGGAAUCAGUAGUAUGGCAGCAAAUUCAUUUAUUAAGGCGGUUGCUGACAUGAAAUCUAUCAAUCUUUUUGGCGUUCAGCAGAUAAGUCGGAAUUCAAUUGCACUAGAACAGGCAUUAGGAGCAAUUCCUUCAGUUAAUAGUGACCUAGUACAACAGCGAUUAAAUCGCGUGCGUACUUAUUAUGAACUAUUGAACAUGCCAUUUGAGGCGUUGCUUGCCUUUAUCAUGGAGCAUGAGCACUUGUUUACACUAUCAGAGUAUAUCAAUCUUCUCAAGGUCCAUGUUCCAGGAAGGGAGAUUCCGCCCGAUGCACAAGAUCGCAUAUACGAGAUCUUAUCCCGUUAAUCUUUCAGCCAAUUGUGUGUCCAACGCUUAACUUCGUAAAUGCUUUUGAUGGCCUUUGCCCAUAUCAUACACCAAUUUGCAAC